rnacentral:rRNA from 1 species
UACGUAGGGUGCGAGCGUUAAUCGGAAUUACUGGGCGUAAAGCGUGCGCAGGCGGUUUUGUAAGCCAGAUGUGAAAUCCCCGGGCUUAACCUGGGAAUGGCAUUUGGGACUGCAAGGCUCGAGUGCGGCAGAGGAGACUGGAAUUCCUGGUGUAGCAGUGAAAUGCGUAGAUAUCUGGAGGAAUACCGGUGGCGAAGGCGGCAUCCUGGACCGACAUUGACGCUGAACGGCGAAAGCUAGGGGAGCAAACGGG